GAUGAACGCUGGCGGCGUGCUUAACACAUGCAAGUCGAACGGAAAGGCCAGUGCUUGCACUGGUACUCGAGUGGCGAACGGGUGAGUAACACGUGGGUGAUCUGCCCUGCACUUCGGGAUAAGCCUGGGAAACUGGGUCUAAUACCGGAUAGGACAAUGGUUUGGAUGCCGUUGUGGAAAGUUUUUUCGGUGUGGGAUGGGCUCGCGGCCUAUCAGCUUGUUGGUGGGGUAAUGGCCUACCAAGGCGUCGACGGGUAGCCGGCCUGAGAGGGUGUACGGCCACAUUGGGACUGAGAUACGGCCCAGACUCCUACGGGAGGCAGCAGUGGGGAAUAUUGCACAAUGGGCGCAAGCCUGAUGCAGCGACGCCGCGUGGGGGAUGACGGCCUUCGGGUUGUAAACUCCUUUCGCUAGGGACGAAGCGUAUUUGUGACGGUACCUGGAGAAGAAGCACCGGCUAACUACGUG
rnacentral:rRNA from 1 species